AAAUUGAAGAGUUUGAUCAUGGCUCAGAUUGAACGCUGGCGGCAGGCCUAACACAUGCAAGUCGAACGGUAGCACAGAGGAGCUUGCUCCUUGGGUGACGAGUGGCGGAC
rnacentral:rRNA from 1 species